GCUCAUUCCAAAUUUCCCAAGAGAUAGGAAUAAGGGAAACAAGCGGCCUUCGAGAUUGCGACCUCCCUUAAGUGUUGCUGCGCCACCACUCCUUGACGGAAACCAUGCCUCCCUAGUCCGUAGGAUGAACAUCAUGUAAACCAAGCCAUGUUUUGAUCAUUGCCCAAACUCUGGCUGCAUAUUCUGUAUAAAAGGAUCAAGUAGACAUGGAAGUAUGCUCAUAUAUUGUUGAAUCCUAUAAAACAUUUAAAAGGUAAUCCGCCGCAUUUUAAUAGCACUCUGUUUCUUAAAUAAGUGACAUUUUACUUGCCAGUUUGCAAGGUACAAAUUGAAACAUGAACUAUAGUAAAAACAUAAUCAUAAAGUCAUAAAUAAAUUUAUAGAAUCCCUCUAUCAAUAUUUCUGUAAAAUUUACUGUGUUUAAUGCUACAAAGAAUAGCAACUUGAAUUUCCACGAGGAGAAGUAUAUAUAGUUAUAUACACAUGCAGGUCUGCGCUUUCAAAUUUAGCAAAGCAUGAGCCAAAAUAACUUACGGAGUGGUGCGUUUUUGUUGCUUGUUGGUGUUCUAUGUGUCCCGACCACACUGGCGCUCAAUUCCUGCAGGAGUGCUGAAGACCGAGAGGAGGCGAUUCUGCCAAGCAUAACCUACUGCCCAAGCAGAUGUCAUUUAUUUAUGGAGAAGAGGGUAUUACAUACAAUUUUUUUGCGAGGCAGUUCAAUUUAAUGGGAAAAAUAUACCCUAGACAAGAUGUUGCAAUUGCAAACGCCUCACAUAAUAAAUUAUGUUCUAUAAUGAGAACACAAUCCAAUCCUUGAUGAGAAGACAUUUUUUCAAUGAUUCCCUUGUACCAUCAACAAAUCAAUUUGAAGAACAGAAAAAGUAUAUUAUUGUGAGAGUGCAUAUUGAAAGAAAAACGUGUACGAACUGGAUGAAAUAAUUACCCAUUUAAAUGGACUAAGAAAUAAGCAUAGAGGACUCUGGAGAUUGGAGUCAGCAUACCGAAGAGGAAAUGCAGGAAAUGGAAUACCCCACUGGCCUCACCGAAUAAUAAGUCCCUCGGUUCAUUGAUUCAUCACCUUGAGGUAAAUAUCGUAGCACCGCCUGCUCCUCUUCUUUGAAUCAUUAUUGUUUGUAAACAUAGUCUUUAGCCAUAGUCUGUAGUACUAUGCCAGCCCAUUGAGACCAACACGACACAUAGUCAAAUGUUAUAGUACGCAACUGAGGAUACAUGAGGAAAAUGAAAGGACUUUGCACUUGUGCAUUGGCAAAAAGCUUCCAAGGCAUAAGCCACAAAACCAUGAUAUAUAGAAAGGUGUGACAACUCUCGAGUUUAGUACACCGAAUUUUGAAAAACACUGAAAAAACAUGAUAAAACAAAAUCCAAAAAAUCUAAAAUUUUGAGACAAAAAUAAUUAUCAAAUGCUUGAGCUUCAUGCAAAAUUUGAGCGAAAAAUAACAUCCGAGGAACUCUCACCAUAAAAAACAAAAUCACUGCUCAAAGAGUGCAUAAAACUUUUAAGCAGGACGUAUUGAUCUUUCAUGUUACUUUACCUGGAAAGGGUAAGAACAAACGCACCGCAAACGCAAGAAAAGCAGUCCACAGCCCAUAUUCACUCCUAAAUUAGGAAUCGACAUGAUAGUAUAAGUAGGCCAAAAGUAAGUGUUCUUGUCUCAAAAAGAAUAAACAUCCAGUAGCUAUAGCAAGGAAAGGGGAAAAGGUAUCAUCAGAUAAUUCUUU
rnacentral:lncRNA from 1 species